GGCUGUGGGGUGUAGUGGUUUGAGCGUUGGACUAUGGCUCUGGUGGCCAGGGUUCAACUUCUGGCUCAGCCA